rnacentral:lncRNA from 1 species
UUCUUUUAUAAUUUCCAUAUAUAUGUAUAUGUGUGUGUGUGUGUGUGUGUGUGUGUGUGUGUGUGUGUGUGUGUGUAUUUGUAUACAAACCCAUACAUGAAAAUUCAUGUAUAGCCCCUAUCUCUGCCACUAUGGCCACUUUGUUUGUGGACUCAUAUAUGUAUAUGCACACAUAUUUUUUUUUUCCUGAGACAAAAUUUCUCUGUGCAGCCCUGUCUGUCCUGGAACUCACUCUGUAGAUCAGGCUGGCCUCAAACUCACAAAGAUCAUUCUGCCUCUACCUCCCGCUGGUCCAUUAAAGUUAUGGACCUCCUUGCAGUUGCCUGAUAUUUUAAAAGCUGGUAAUUAUAUUUUUAUUUACUUUCUAAAAUGAUGUAGGUAGUGUUUUAAUCCAGUCAGCCGAUAUCAAAAUUUUGUGAAAAUAAUUAUUCAAAUUGGUACUUAAUGAAAGUAAGGUUUUACUGUCAAUGAAAAGCAAAAGAAUAUUUUCACCAUAAGUAUUAUACAAAUCCCUUUAAAAUCAAACAUUUCCUUCCUUUUUUUCCCUGGUGACCUAGUGGUAAUAUUCUGUAGUGUUUUAUUCUGGAGACCUGGAUUUCAUUCCUGUUCUCGUUAUCUCUCUCCCUGCGGCUGAAGUGCAUAAACUAAGAAAUAAAAUGACUAUCCUGAAUCCUCAUUGCCAUGGGCCAUACCCUUGUCAGGUUUCAUAAACUAAGUUAGAUGGACCUGCUUGGUAUUGUGGUGGAAGACCUCCAAGAAAACAAAGUCCCGGAAUCUCAACGUCCUCUGUGCAGCUGGCAUUUCAUCUUCAAGAAACAAUGUCUUAUAGUUAUUAUUGCAUGUUUCUCUGCACUAUUUGAUUGAUUAUCUUGCUCUAGG